rnacentral:rRNA from 1 species
UACAGGGGGGGCAAGCGUUGUUCGGAAUUACUGGGCGUAAAGGGCCAGUAGGCGGCCAACUAAGUCACACGUGAAAUCCCCGGGCUUAACCCGGGAACUGCGUGUGAUACUGGAUGGCUUGAAUUCGGGAGAGGGGUGCAGGAAUUCCAGGUGUAGCGGUGAAAUGCGUAGAUAUCUGGAGGAAUACCGGUGGCGAAGGCGGCAUCCUGGACCGACAUUGACGCUGAACGGCGAAAGCUA